AUUGAACGCUGGCGGCAGGCUUAACACAUGCAAGUCGAGCGAGCGGCGGACGGGUGAGUAAUGUCUGGGACACUGCCUGAUGGAGGGGGAUACCUACUGGAAACGGUAGCUAAUACCGCAUACCAUCAGAUUUGCCCAGAUGGGAUUAGCUAGUAGGUGGGGUAAUGGCUCACAUAGGCGACGAGCCCUAGCUGGUCUGAGAGGAAGACCGGCCACAUGGGAACGGAGACACGGUCAAGAGUCCUACGGGAGGCAGCAGUGGGGAAUAUUGCACAAUGGGCGCAAGCCUGAGGCAGCCAUGCCGAGUGUGUGAAGAAGGCCUUCGGGUGGUAAAGCACUUUCAGCGAGGAGGCGUUACUCGCAGAAGAAGCACCGGCUAACUCCGUGCCAGCAGCCGCGGUAAUUC
rnacentral:rRNA from 1 species